AAAAUCCGUCGACUUUAGAAAUCGUGAGGGUUCAAGUCCCUCUAUCCCCAAAAAAGGCCGAUUUGCCUCCCUAAUUCUCCCACCCUUUCUUUUUUUAGUAGUUCAAAAUUCGUUAUGUUUCUCAUUCAUCCUCCUUUUUUACAAACGUAUCCGAGCAAAAUUUGUUUUUUCUCUUAUCACAAUCACAAAAGGUGUGGUAUAUAUGAUAUAUGUACAAAUGAACGCUCGUGAGCAAAGAAUUCCGCUUCACAAUACAUAUGAUUGCUCAUACUGAAACUUACAAAGUUUUCUUUUUGAAGAUUCAAGAGAUGAAUUCCUCGUUCAAGACUUUUAAUACUUUUUUCAUCUUUUUUAAUUGACAUAGACCCCAGUCAUUUAGUAAAAUGAGGAU
rnacentral:tRNA from 1 species